GAUGAACGCUGGCGGCGUGCCUAAUACAUGCAAGUCGAGCGAACGGACGUGAAGCUUGCUUCUCUGAUGUUAGCGGCGGACGGGUGAGUAACACGUGGAUAACCUACCUAUAAGACUGGGAUAACUUCGGGAAACCGUAGCUAAUACCGGAUAAUAUUUUGAACCGCAUGGUUCAAAAGUGAAAGACGGUCUUGCUGUCACUUAUAGAUGGAUCCGCGCUGCAUUAGCUAGUUGGUAAGGUAACGGCUUACCAAGGCAACGAUGCAUAGCCGACCUGAGAGGGUGAUCGGCCACACUGGAACUGAGACACGGUCCAGACUCCUACGGGAGGCAGCAGUAGGGAAUCUUCCGCAAAGGGCGAAAGCCUGACGGAGCAACGCCGCGUGAGUGAUGAAGGUCUUCGGAUCGUAAAACUCUGUUAUUAGGGAAGAACAUAUGUGUAAGUAACUGUGCACAUCUUGACGGUACCUAAUCAGAAAGCCACGGCUAACUACGUG
rnacentral:rRNA from 1 species